GUGAAAGCUUUUCCCCUUCAGGCAGGUUUGGUUUGAUCCUUCUAACAAGUUUAGUGUCUUGCUAAGUUUUCUGUGUGUCUGCUUGUGUGCAGGAAAAACACGAUGAUGAUGUGGGACUUGCUGUUUGAGGGCAGAAAGCUGAUUCAACGAGCCAGUGUCCAGUGGCCCAGCAAUGAACAAAAGAGAAAAGCAGAGUGUGUGCUCAAGAACUCAGAAAGACUCUACAAGCUGAGAACGACGGCAAUACUGCUCAGGAGGCAGAGGCAGGAGGAUCUUUGUGUCUUCUAGGCCAGCCUGGUCUACAUAUCAAGUUUCAAGCUAGCCAGGGCUUUACAGUGAGACCCUGUCUCAAAAAGCCAAAACCAAAACCACAGCAGCAGCAGCAACAGGGACAGCAGCAACAGCAAUAAAGAAAAAAAAAACUGCUAAAAAGACAGCUACUUGGCAAACAAUUGCCUUCUUAGGGUGAAAGGCCCAGGAUGCUGCCUUCCCCCUCCAGGAUGGACACCAUGAGCCCAUCACUCUCUUCUUCAGUUGGUAGUGAACGUGGUGAUGAGUAUAAGUAUAGCAGGGCACUCCAGAAUAAAGAGGACAUGUGGAGAAACUGUUGGCUGUGGGAAAUACGAGAGGCUCAGCCUGGACAAACUGCUCACACUGUGAUGUAGCCUUUGGUAAAAUGAUCACCAUGGGAUGAAAUCUAGUCAAAGAGAAUGUAGUUCAGCAGCAUAGGGAGAAUGUUAACAAGUAUUGGAAGACCUGGGUGGAUGCUCUUCUUGCUUGGUUUCUGAGCAGUAUAAAUUGCUGGAAAUAGCAAAUACUGGAACUUUAUUUUGUUUUUAUAGUGGGAGGGGACCAGACAGCUGGAACCACUUGACAGAUAUAAAAACUGAUAAACCUCAAGAACUUAAGCAAGUGAUUGUCCAGUAUAUCCAGCCAGCCAGUGUCUGAGUUGUACCUGGACUGAAGACCCCUGGCUCCCCAUCCAGGGUGCUCCCUUACUCCACAUGAUGGGUUAGGAGCUAUAGUGAUAACACACAGACAUGGGGAACAGUUCACAGUGUCAGAGAACCUUGCUUGCAAGCACUAUGGUGCUGUAACUUGGAAAUGGAGCUCUUAAUUGGUCCAGAUAAUAAAAUUCUGGAGUCAGAUACAGAGGAAAAUGCUGAGAAAU
rnacentral:lncRNA from 1 species